rnacentral:tRNA from 1 species
UAGCUCAGUUGGUAGAGCAUCUCCCUUUUAAGGAGAGGGUCCUGGGUUCGAGCCC